AUUGAACGCUGGCGGCAGGCUUAACACAUGCAAGUCGAGCGGAGAUGAGGUGCUUGCACCUUAUCUUAGCGGCGGACGGGUGAGUAAUGCUUAGGAAUCUGCCUAUUAGUGGGGGACAACAUUCCGAAAGGAAUGCUAAUACCGCAUACGCCCUACGGGGGAAAGCAGGGGAUCUUCGGACCUUGCGCUAAUAGAUGAGCCUAAGUCGGAUUAGCUAGUUGGUGGGGUAAAGGCCUACCAAGGCGACGGUCUGUAGCGGGUCUGAGAGGAUGAUCGGCCACACUGGGACUGAGACACGGCCCAGACUCCUACGGGAGGCAGCAGUGGGGAAUAUUGGACAAUGGGCGGAAGCCUGGUCCAGCCAUGCCGCGUGUGUGAAGAAGGCCUUUUGGUUGUAAAGCACUUUAAGCGAGGAGGAGGCUACCUGGAUUAAUACUCUAGGAUAGUGGACGUUACUCGCAGAAUAAGCACCGGCUAACUCUGUGCCAGCCGCCGCGGUAAGAC
rnacentral:rRNA from 1 species